rnacentral:rRNA from 1 species
CCUACGGGUGGCAGCAGUGAGGAAUAUUGGUCAAUGGGCGCGAGCCUGAACCAGCCAAGUCGCGUGCAGGAAGAAGGUACAGCGUAUCGUAAACCUCUUUUGUCAGGGAACAAAGGCGGGGACUAGUCCCCGGAUGAGUGUACCUGAAGAAAAAGCAUCGGCUAACUCCGUGCCAGCAGCCGCGGUAAUACGGAGGAUGCGAGCGUUAUCCGGAUUUAUUGGGUUUAAAGGGUGCGCAGGCGGCCUGUUAAGUCAGCGGUAAAAGCCCGGGGCUCAACCCCGGCGAGCCGUUGAAACUGGGGGGCUGGAGUGGGGGAGAGGUAGGCGGAAUGCGUGGUGUAGCGGUGAAAUGCUUAGAUAUCGCGCAGAACCCCGAUUGCGAAGGCAGCGUACCGGCUCCACACUGACGCUGAGGCACGAAAGCGUGGGUAUCGAACAGGAUUAGAUACCCGUGUAGUC